CCUACGGGAGGCAGCAGUGAGGAAUAUUGGUCAAUGGACGGAAGUCUGAACCAGCCAUGCCGCGUGCAUGAAGACGGCUCUCUGAGUUGUAAACUGCUUUUGUACAAGGGUAAACCUGAAUACGUGUAUUCAGCUGAAAAUACUGUACGAAUAAGGAUCGGCUAACUCCGUGCCAGCCGCCGCGGUAAUACGGAGGAUCCAAGCGUUAUCCGGAUUUAUUGGGUUUAAAGGGUGCGUAGACGGAUUGAUAAGUUAGAUGUGAAAUGUUCGAGCUUAACUCGGGAACUGCCUCUAAUACUGUUGAUCUAGAGAGUAGAUGCGGUAGGCGGAAUGUAUGGUGUAGCGGUGAAAUGCGUAGAGAUCAUAAAGAACACCAGUUGCGAAGGCAGCUUACCAAUCUAUAUCUGACGUUGAGGCACGAAAGCGUGGGGAGCAAACAGGAUUAGAUACCCUGGUAGUC
rnacentral:rRNA from 1 species